GCUGCGGAAACAAGUCUUUGGGUCUGCGUCUCAACUCAAGAAGCCAAGUUAAGCACCGGGACCAUGGACGGGACUCAUGCAGGCUCACAAGCGCCAACGUAUUUGGCCUGGUCUAUCUUCAACACACUUUGCUGUUGCCUUCCCCUCGGAAUUGCUGCGAUUAUUUGUUCAAGCAGGGUGAGCGGUGCAAAUAGCGUUGGAGAUACGGCCAAGGCGCAGGAAGCAUCGCGGACCGCCAAGAUUCUGAAUAUCGUUGGACUUGUGCUUGGAAUUAUUGCUAUCAUUGUUAUUAUUGUACUGCAAACGGUCUAAACCGACGAAGCUGGAAGAAAGUCAUGCUACCUUUUUAACUCAAAGUAACACCCCCCAUUCAAAUGUUCUAAAACGACUUUUAUAUGCAUCUUGAAAACUAAAUAACCUCGCACCCAUGUAGGCUACUCUAAAAACAAAGUACACAUUUUAAGGUGGGAUGGAUGUAACGGGCUCUGGGUCCAAAAUGGUUAAAAAACCCGCGCGCUGCUUUUGCUUUGCAUAUCACUCGGCUUCGCCGCCUGUCAUGUUGUGUAAUAAAUUAGUGUUGAAAUAUUUUCGCAUCCGUCCAAAUGUAUUGCCUCACUUUUUUUGAUUGCCACUUUUUGGUAGUGAAAUCUUACUAGGAAUCAUACGCUUGCAAACUCAUUAACGCACGUGCUUUGUUGCAGUUGCAGUACAUGGCAGUAAAUGUAUGAAAUGCAUUUUAAAAUUGUUUAAAAAUGAGCAGACCUCAAAAGCAAAUGGGCAGCGAACAAAGGAAAAGGACCAACGCCCAGCUCCCACCUCGCCCCCUUCUUGGAAGAAGGGGGGCGGGGCGCCGGGGGGGGGGGGAUUGAACACUCUAUGUUUAACAUCAUGACAUUAUAGCAAAUUCCCAUGAAGUUCAAGUUAUAUGCUGAGUUUUUAUUUGUAACAUUUUGCAAAGCUGUACUUGGUAUUGUCAUUUAUGUGAAAACAGUGAAAAUGUACUCUUUUAUUUUGCACUGUGUUGACUGUUUUGAGAGCAAGCCUUAUUAAACCAGGCUUUACCCUUGACCGAGGUACUGGCCUCAGAACUGGAGUUGGUUCCCGGGCGAUGCACUGUGGCUGCCCACUGCUCCUAAGUAACUAGGACGGGUUAAAUGCAGAGGACGCAUUUCACUGUAUGUACAUGUAUAAGCAUGCGACAAAUAAAGCCUUCUUCUUAUUCUU